AUGUUAAACUUAAAUUAUCUUUCUACUGUAUUGCAGACUAGUGUGGAGUUUUUGCGCAUUAAAUGUCAAACAGGGGUGUCCGAGCCACCUCAUUCCCAGCAACGGCAUGGCUCCAAUGACUCUGUGCCCUCCUGUGUGGAGCUCCCACUGGGGGAACUUAAAGAGAGCUUAAACACAAACUCUAAGGCUAAUGGAGACACCGCAACGGACGCCCUCCUCCUCAGGCUCGGUGCCGAGCUAGAAGAGGAGAGGUCCAACAGCCGAAGAAUAUGUGAAGAACUCGCCAAGGAGAAGGAGAACUGCCAAAAUAUGCUUUCUUUGCUGGAGGAGGAGAAUAGGGAAAUUAAGAAAGAAAUGAAGCAAAGGGAAGCACAAACUGAGCUGCAGCUACGAGACCUCCAGGAGCAGAUAAGCCAAGCCCAAAGCCAGUCCUUUGAGAUCCAGAGAUACAAGGAGGAGAAGCAGCUUCUCAACACCCAGCUCCAAGAAACCAGCAGGAUGCUAGUCAGAGAGCAGGAGAACGCCGAGAGGCUGAAAGAGGAGGUCGCAAGCUCGGCCCUCCGUCUCUGCACCCUAGAGGAGGAGAGGGAGAGACGGGAAGAGGAAACGAGGAGGCUCGAGGAGGAGCACAGGGAGGAGCUGGACAGAAUCCGGCAGCUCUUGGAAGAGGGGGAGAAAGAGAUUGACAGACUGGAGAAGGAAGACUCGGGUAUCAAGGCGUCCAAGAAUAGACAGAACCAGGAAAGGGUCAGCUUCGGUCAGGAUGAGGAUGAGGAAGGUGGACCAGGCCAGGAAGCGCUCUCUGAAGAUGGUCUGGCCAGAUCUGUCUGCACGGACAUCUUGAUGGAGCGCUACUUGUCCACUGCAAAGUCCAACUCCUGCCAGGCCAAUCAGAGCUUUGAAGAACACAUCCUUGAAGAGAACUCUGCCAAUUACAGGUCAGUGAAUAAUGCUGAUGACCAUAAUUGUGUGGUUGUCCAUGGUUUAAUCGGCGUGCAUGUUAAAUGCUUCACACACCUCGAAACAUGUCUAAAUUAUCAGUUUUAA
rnacentral:lncRNA from 1 species